GUUAAGUGACUAAGCGUACAAGGUGGAUGCCUUGGCAAUCAGAGGCGAAGAAGGACGUGCUAAUCUGCGAAAAGCUUGGAUGAGUCGAUAAGAGGCGUUUAAUCCAAGAUAUCCGAAUGGGGAAACCCAGUAGAUGAAGAAUCUACUAUCAACAAGUGAAUUCAUAGCUUGUUGAGGCAAACCGGGAGAACUGAAACAUCUAAGUACCCCGAGGAAAAGAAAUCAACCGAGAUUUCGUCAGUAGCGGCGAGCGAAAGCGAAAGAGCCAGUAAGUGAUAGCAGUAUAGUGAGGAGAAUGUGUUGGGAAGCACAAUCAAAGAGGGUGAUAAUCCCGUAUCUAAAAACCAUAUUGUGGUACUAAGCUAACGAGAAGUAGGGCGGGACACGUGAUAUCCUGUUUGAAGAAGGGGGGACCAUCCUCCAAGGCUAAAUACUCCUGAUUGACCGAUAGUGAACCAGUACUGUGAAGGAAAGGCGAAAAGAACCCCGGUGAGGGGAGUGAAAUAGAACCUGAAACCUUGUACGUACAAGCAGUGGGAGCCCCAUCACUUAAUCCGAUUGGAAGGUGAUGAAAAGCAACCGCAUUUAAACAAUGGUAAGAGGAGCGAAGCGAGUCAAACCACCCAAAAGAAGCAGUGGGAUUAAGUGAUGGGGUGACUGCGUACCUUUUGUAUAAUGGGUCAGCGACUUAUAUUUUGUAGCGAGGUUAACUGAAUAGGGGAGCCGAAGGGAAACCGAGUCUUAACUGGGCGAGUAGUUGCAAGGUAUAGACCCGAAACCCGGUGAUCUAGCCAUGGGCAGGUUGAAGGUUGGGUAACACUAACUGGAGGACCGAACCGACUAAUGUUGAAAAAUUAGCGGAUGACUUGUGGCUGGGGGUGAAAGGCCAAUCAAACCGGGAGAUAGCUGGUUCUCCCCGAAAUCUAUUUAGGUAGAGCCUUGAGGUGACACCUUUGGGGGUAGAGCACUGUUUCGGCUAGGGGGCCAUCCCGGCUUACCAACCCGAUGCAAACUACGAAUACCAAAGAGUGAUACUCAGGAGACACACGGCGGGUGCUAACGUCCGUCGUGGAGAGGGAAACAACCCAGACCGCCAGCUAAGGUCCCCAAGUCUAUAUUAAGUGGGAAACGAAGUGGGAAGGCUUAGACAGCUAGGAUGUUGGCUUAGAAGCAGCCAUCAUUUAAAGAAAGCGUAAUAGCUCACUAGUCGAGUCGGCCUGCGCGGAAGAUGUAACGGGGCUGAAAUAUAGCACCGAAGCUGCGGCAUCAGAAUUUAUUCUGUUGGGUAGGGGAGCGUUGUGUAAGCGGAAGAAGGUUCAUCGAGAGGUGGGCUGGACGUAUCACAAGUGCGAAUGCUGACAUAAGUAACGAUAAAACGGGUGAAAAACCCGUUCGCCGGAAGACCAAGGGUUCCUGUCCAACGUUAAUCGGGGCAGGGUGAGUCGGCUCCUAAGGCGAGGCUGAAAAGCGUAGUCGAUGGGAAACAGGUUAAUAUUCCUGUACUUGGUAAAGCUGCGAUGUGGGGACGGAGUAGGUUAGGUUAUCGCACUGUUGGAUAUGUGCGUUUAAGUUGGUAGGUGGGAAGUUUAGGCAAAUCCGGACUUCCUUAACACAGAGAGAUGAUGACGAGGCUCUACGGAGCUGAAGUAACUGAUACCACACUUCCAGGAAAAGCCACUAAGCGAAAGGCUUUACUAAACCGUACUGAAAACCGACACAGGUGGUCAGGUAGAGAAUACUCAGGCGCUUGAGAGAACUCGGGUGAAGGAACUAGGCAAAAUAGCACCGUAACUUCGGGAGAAGGUGCGCCGGCGUAGAUUGUAAGGGCUAGCCCCUGAAGGUUGAACCGGUCGAAGAUACCAGCUGGCUGCAACUGUUUAUUAAAAACACAGCACUCUGCAAACACGAAAGUGGACGUAUAGGGUGUGAUGCCUGCCCGGUGCUGGAAGGUUAAUUGAUGGUGUAAUCGAAAGAGAAGCACCUGAUCGAAGCCCCAGUAAACGGCGGCCGUAACUAUAACGGUCCUAAGGUAGCGAAAUUCCUUGUCGGGUAAGUUCCGACCUGCACGAAUGGCAUAAUGAUGGCCAGGCUGUCUCCACCCGAGACUCAGUGAAAUUGAAAUCGCCGUGAAGAUGCGGUGUACCCGCGGCUAGACGGAAAGACCCCGUGAACCUUUACUAUAGCUUGACACUGAACAUUGAAUUUUGAUGUGUAGGAUAGGUGGGAGCCUUUGAAGCAGUGACGCCAGUCAUUGUGGAGGCGACCUUGAAAUACCACCCUUUAACGUUUGAUGUUCUAACGAAGAUGACGAAACGUGGUCUCGGACAGUGUCUGGUGGGUAGUUUGACUGGGGCGGUCUCCUCCCAAAGCGUAACGGAGGAGCACGAAGGUUUGCUAAUCACGGUCGGACAUCGUGAGGUUAGUGCAAUGGUAUAAGCAAGCUUAACUGCGAGACAGACAAGUCGAGCAGGUACGAAAGUAGGUCAUAGUGAUCCGGUGGUUCUGAAUGGAAGGGCCAUCGCUCAACGGAUAAAAGGUACUCCGGGGAUAACAGGCUGAUACCGCCCAAGAGUUCAUAUCGACGGCGGUGUUUGGCACCUCGAUGUCGGCUCAUCACAUCCUGGGGCUGAAGUAGGUCCCAAGGGUAUGGCUGUUCGCCAUUUAAAGUGGUACGCGAGCUGGGUUUAGAACGUCGUGAGACAGUUCGGUCCCUAUCUGCCGUGGGCGUAGGAGAAUUGAUUGGGGCUGCUCCUAGUACGAGAGGACCGGAGUGGACGCACCACUGGUGUUCCGGUUGUGUCGCCAGACGCAUUGCCGGGUAGCUAAGUGCGGAAGAGAUAAGUGCUGAAAGCAUCUAAGCACGAAACUUGCCAAGAGAUGAGUUCUCCCAAUCUAAGAGAUUGUAAGGGUUGUUGUAGACUACGACGUAGAUAGGUCUGGUGUGUAAGUGUAGUGAUACAUUGAGCUAACAGAUACUAAUUGCCCGAGAGGCUUAAC
rnacentral:rRNA from 1 species